rnacentral:misc_RNA from 1 species
GAUGGAGAACGCAGUGAAAUGCGAUAAGUAAUGUGAAUUGCAGAAUUCAGUGAAUCAUCGAAUCUUUGAACGCACAUUGCGCCCGCCAGUAUUCUGGCGGGCAUGCCUGUUCGAGCGUCAUUUCAACCAUCAAGCCCCCGGCUUGUGUUGGGGACCUGCGGCUGCCGCAGGCCCUGAAAACCAGUGGCGGGCUCGCUAGUCACUCCGAGCGUAGUAAUACAUCUCGCUCAGGGCGUGCUGCGGGUUCCGGCCGUUAAAAAGCCUUAUUUACCCAAGGUUGACCUCGGAUCAGGUAGGAAGACCCGCUGAACUUAAGCAUAUCAAUAAGCGGAGGA